CUGCAUUGAUCAUAUACGUUCAUAAGAUUGCAGACACCGCCUAGGAAAGGUAGUUAGCAAGUGGAAGUUCUGUGUGAAUCCCGCUAUGUAGUACAAGUGAAAUAAUUGAUUAUGUUUGAAAAAUGACGUGUAUUAUCGGUAUGCAGAUUCGUAGCAGUGGGGCUGUCAGAACAACAUCAACUGGAAACCAUUGGCAUCUGACCCCUAGAUAUCGAAAUACAGAAAAGCGUGCAGACAUCGAUUUGGAUGGUCGGGUGAGGAUGGAUUAUGCACGGAGUGAGCGUGGCUGCUUGUGUCACCAAUGUGCCACCUCGUGAGUUUGAUGUUACCUUGCGUCAGUAUUAUAAAGUAUAUGAAAUAAAAAGUACGUGUUUAAUGUACUUAACAGUGGCAUGAUGUUCAUACAAACUUUCAGCUAAUUCCACCCAUCUGUUCUCUUGGUAUGAAAUUUGAGUAUUUAAACGACAAUUAUGAAUGGGAGAGAUUACCACGGUUUUAGGUUAAGUUGAGUUGAGUUAGGUUAUAUUAGGUUAGAUUAGUGACGCCUCUGCCCAGAGGGUGAUGGAUAGUGGCGUCCGGUUCUCAGAGGGCUGUUACGCCACGGAUUAUUACACGAGCGAGCCGUGUGUUUGUCAUUGCCCUUUGUGGGACUUAUAUAAUUACAUCAUUCCAAAUCUCAUAUGUCGCAUAAAUAUUUUAAACUGUGGCGUAAUAUGUCUACCAAAUGUUAUUAAACCUCUGACAAGUGUAAUCUCGAUAGUGGAUACGUUCAGGCAUAUGUAAUUGUUGAAGGACAUAAGUUGCUUACUGUAGUUUAGCGUGUAUGUAGUCGAGCCCUUUACGUCACACACCAAAAGGUUAUUCGAAUAAUUAAGAAUUAUUUUAUUGUACACAGUUGAUUUAGAAAUGGCAGCGGCAUCAUUAAUCAUAUAUACAGGUGUCCAAGAAAGAAUGCACACAUUUUACAAAUUUUUAUUUAGAAAAUAAACAGAGCUAGGAUAGUACAAUUUUAACCACAUGAAACAGCAACUCAGGCAUUAUUUUCCGCACACAACGUUUUCUGCAAGAUGGAUUAGAAGAGGUGGACCAGUUGCAUGGCCUGCAAGAUCGCCGGAUUUAACGCCUAUGGAUUUCUUCCUUUAGGGGUACACAAAGGAUCAGGUGUACCGCACACGAGUAAUUUGUUUGUAAGAUUUGAAAAACCGCAUCGUUCAUUCUGUGGAAGGAAUCACGCCUCAAAUAUGUGGCAACGUUUUCCGGGCUUUUGAAUACCGGAUGGACAUUGUGCGAACAACAAAGGGAGCUCAGAUCGAAGUACAAUGAAGUGGAGAACGGUGGAGGGGAAAUAUACUUUCUGAGUUGCUAUUUCGUGUGGUGAAAACUGUACUCUCCUAGCUCUGUUUAUUUACUAAAUAAAAAUUGUUUAAAAUGUG